AUACGUAGGGGGCAAGCGUUGUCCGGAAUUACUGGGCGUAAAGGGUGCGUAGGCGGCCGAUUAAGUCAGAUGUGAAAUACCACGGCUCAACUGUGGGGGUGCAUAUGAAACUGGUUGGCUUGAGUGCAGGAGAGGGAAGUGGAAUUCCUAGUGUAGCGGUGAAAUGCGUAGAGAUUAGGAGGAACACCAGUGGCGAAGGCGACUUUCUGGACUGUAACUGACGCUGAGGCACGAAAGCGUGGGGAGCAAACAGGAUUAGAUACCCUGGUAGUCCACGCCGUAAACGAUGGAUACUAGGUGUAGGGGGUAUCGACCCCCCCUGUGCCGGAGUUAACGCAAUAAGUAUCCCGCCUGGGGAGUACGGCCGCAAGGUUGAA
rnacentral:rRNA from 1 species